AUUGAACGCUGGCGGCAUGCUUUACACAUGCAAGUCGAACGGCAGCACAGGGAGCCUUGCUCCCGGGUGGCGAGUGGCGCACGGGUGAGUAAUACAUCGGAACGUGUCCUGUUGUGGGGGAUAACUGCUCGAAAGGGUGGCUAAUACCGCAUGAGACCUGAGGGUGAAAGCGGGGGAUCGCAAGACCUCGCGCAAUUGGAGCGGCCGAUGCCCGAUUAGCUAGUUGGUGAGGUAAAGGCUCACCAAGGCGACGAUCGGUAGCCGACCUGAGAGGGUGAUCGGCCACAUUGGAACUGAGAGACGGUCCAGACUCCUACGGGAGGCAGCAGUGGGGAAUAUUGGGCAAUGGGCGAAAGCCUGACCCAGCAACGCCGCGUGAGGGAAGAAGGGUUUCGGCUCGUAAACCUCUGUCCUAUGGGACGAAGGAAGUGACGGUACCAUAGGAGGAAGCCCCGGCUAACUACGUG
rnacentral:rRNA from 1 species